UACAGAGGGUGCGAGCGUUAAUCGGAAUUACUGGGCGUAAAGCGCGCGUAGGCGGCUUUGUAAGUUAGAGGUGAAAGCCCGGAGCUCAACUCCGGAAUUGCCUUUAAGACUGCAUCGCUAGAAUCAUGGAGAGGUGAGUGGAAUUCCGAGUGUAGAGGUGAAAUUCGUAGAUAUUCGGAAGAACACCAGUGGCGAAGGCGACUCACUGGACAUGUAUUGACGCUGAGGUGCGAAAGCGUGGGGAGCAAACAGG
rnacentral:rRNA from 1 species